UAACAAUUUGGAAGAAUCGAUUCUGUUCAUCGCAACCUGUGUUCCGCUGAUGAUUGAAAUCGAAAUCUGUGUGUCUCAAUUUGAUUCUUCUGAGAAAUGUGGAGCACGCUUAUUUUUUGGAUAGUGGUUUUGAUCCUGGUAUGUUACCUGGUAGAAAUAGAGUCGAAAAAUUUUCACGAUAAGACAGGAUCUGGGCAGUAUUACCACCACCGUUAUUUCAAGAAACGACGCCAUGGCUGGUGUCAAGUACAGGCGGAUUGCGUCGUGGGGGAUUUCUGCGCGUCGGGACGAUGCAUUUGAGACGAUUUGUACAUGUAAUUACAUGAAUGCCGUUCGUGUUUUCUCUACUAUUGACUCGGUGAAGCAAGAAGACAAUUUUACAAUAUCCUCCUGACAAGGGAGGUCUCCCAGCGUAUGCUCUCAGAUUUUGUCCAAAUUAGUAUCUAUCGUUGAUACAUUUCAUAGUAAUUAAAUUUGUGAUCGACAAACGACACGAUUUCGAUAUUUACAUCCAAAAAGGAGAAGACGCACCCAUUAGGAGGCGUCUUUGCGAAUUUCAUACUGCUUAAAUUUGUAAUGGACUGAUACUAAUUUGGUCAAAUUUUGAGAGGAUACGUUGGGAGACUAUGUACUUAUGCGUGUUUGUUUAAUUGUGUGGCCUAUUGCUUAUGUAUUGAUUGACACACAGUAGGUUUAAUUUUUGUUGUUAUUGUAAUAACGCAUGAUUUGGAUAUUAUAUAAUUUGCGCAAAUAUCAUAUGACUACUGCAAUGAAAUAGGCAAUCGAACAAUCAAUAAUAAUUGUAUGUAGUGUCGCAAGAACAAGUGUCGUUUGCAUCCACUUGACCAUCAAUAGGGGUCUUGGCCAAUUAAUAUGUAACAAACAACUUGAUGGGAUGCGUAGUGUAGUAAGUUUUUACGUUGCAGAUUUAUUCUUAAUUUGGAAAUUGUCAUUUACAGCUAUUUAUAUACAUAUGUAAGCACACAAACAGUAGUCAUUUACAUAAGUGACAAAUAAUAUAUUAACAAUUUUGUAACGAGUAAUAAACUAAAAUUAAUACUAAAUACAAACAGCUACUGAUGGCCAGA